rnacentral:tRNA from 1 species
ACUUCCUUAGUAUACAAGUAUAAUUGACUUCCAAUCAAUAGGGCCGUAAUAAUACGGAAGAAGUA